rnacentral:rRNA from 1 species
UACGUAGGGUGCGAGCGUUAAUCGGAAUUACUGGGCGUAAAGCGUGCGCAGGCGGUUCGUUGUGUCGGUGGUGAAAUCCCCGGGCUUAACCUGGGAAUGGCCAUGGAAACUGGCGAACUGGAGUGCGGCAGAGGGGGGUGGAAUUCCGCGUGUAGCAGUGAAAUGCGUAGAGAUGCGGAGGAACACCAACGGCGAAGGCAGCUCGCUGGGACGGUACUGACGCUGAGACGCGAAAGCGUGGGGAGCGAACAGG